GCAUAACGCGAAGAACCUUACCAACCCUUGACAUGUGUAUCGCGGUUCCAGAGAUGGUUCCUUCAGUUCGGCUGGAUACAACACAGGUGCUGCAUGGCUGUCGUCAGCUCGUGUCGUGAGAUGUUCGGUUAAGUCCGGCAACGAGCGCAACCCACACUCUUAGUUGCCAUUAUUCAGUUGGGCACUCUAGGAGAACUGCCGGUGAUAAGCCGGAGGAAGGUGUGGAUGACGUCAAGUCCUCAUGGCCCUUACGGGUUGGGCUACACACGUGCUACAAUGGUAGUGACAAUGGGUUAAUCCCAAAAAGCUAUCUCAGUUCGGAUUGGGGUCUGCAACUCGACCCCAUGAAGUCGGAAUCGCUAGUAAUCGCGUAACAGCAUGACGCGGUGAAUACGUUCCCGGGUCUUGUACACACCG
rnacentral:rRNA from 1 species